CAGGAGCCAACACGGGCAUCUUAGGAGCUAGUAUGCCAACUAUGGAGAGUCCUAGACACUUUUAACUUUCCUGACUUUAGCGCGUGUGGUUUGUGGGAAGAGAGAAAAAUAGCUUCAGUCCAAUAGGCAACUCUCCUCGCCAGGGCACUCAGUGAACAUCUGUCCUUUGUAAGCGUGAGAUGGGAAGUGCGGAUCUGCUGUUGCUGCUCCAUUCCUGCUGCCUCUCAGAUAUGAGCAGCUUGUGCCGUUGUGUGUGAUUCUAGUGUUUAAAGGAAAGUAUUUUCCUACAACAUGACCACUAAAACAAGCCAACCACUUAAUCUGAUGUUCAGCUGAAGAAACAGCAAUCUGUUUUGACACUGAAAGGAAAACUGGCUGCGGUGAGCUCUCUGAGAGCUGGUGUACCAGACACCAUGGUGAGAACUUCAAAAGGAUUUUCAAGGUGGUCAUAAGGGAACCCUCAUGUGGCCUCAUGUGUGUACCAAUGGAUAAGCAAUCGUACAGCCCUGGUGAAUUACAUGGGGUUCUGGAUCACCUGUUCAUGGAGCUGAUUUGUGCUCUCCAGCCUUGUUUCUUCCCAAUACCAGAUGUGCCAUGUACACCUUUCCAUGCAUUGCUGCUGGACCUGGUAGGUCCUACAUCAUUUUGGGUAGCCCUGGACACAUGGUCACUUGAUAUUCCAUGGUCAGGGACUCCAUCUCUACAAAAGCCACUAGAAUGCCAAGAGCUGCUUUUAA
rnacentral:lncRNA from 10 species